rnacentral:rRNA from 1 species
UACGUAGGGGGCUAGCGUUGUCCGGAAUCAUUGGGCGUAAAGCGCGUGUAGGCGGUUCGGUAAGUCUGCUGUGAAAGUCGGGGGGCUCAACCCUCGAAUGCCGGUGGAUACUGUCGGACUAGAGUGCGGAAGAGGCGAGUGGAAUUCCUGGUGUAGCGGUGAAAUGCGCAGAUAUCAGGAGGAACACCGGUGGCGAAGGCGGCGAUCUGGGUCGAUACUGACGCUGGAGGUGCGAAAAGCGUGGGGGAGCAAACAGG